rnacentral:rRNA from 1 species
GACGAACGCUGGCGGCGUGCUUAACACAUGCAAGUCGAACGGAAAGGCCCUGCUUUUGUGGGGUGCUCGAGUGGCGAACGGGUGAGUAACACGUGAGUAACCUGCCCUUGACUUUGGGAUAACUUCAGGAAACUGGGGCUAAUACCGGAUAGGAGCUCCUGCUGCAUGGUGGGGGUUGGAAAGUUUCGGCGGUUGGGGAUGGACUCGCGGCUUAUCAGCUUGUUGGUGGGGUAGUGGCUUACCAAGGCUUUGACGGGUAGCCGGCCUGAGAGGGUGACCGGCCCCUUGGGGAGUGGGAAGGGGCCCAACUCCGCACGGGGGGCAGGAGCGGGGAAUAUGCAAAAGUGGGCGGGAGCUAGAUGCGCAAAGGCGGGGGGGGGAGUGAGGGCUUUCGGGUGGUAACCCGGUUUCGCGUUAGAGGAAGGGGGAGGGGCGGAAAUGGUGAAAGAAGCACCGCUUAACUACGU